CAGAAGCCCAGCCUUCGGACCUGUGCCUGAAACGUCCACCAUAAGAUCUGUGCCUGAAACUACUGACACCUUUUUCUUUUCCCCCCUCAUAAAAACCAAAGGGUAGGAGUUUCUGCUGGAGCUAGCAGGCCACGGGGGAAAGACCUGUUUCAAAGGUAAAGCAGAAGGUUUCUUCAAGCUGCUUGGUAAAUCCCCAGGCUCUUCCCAAAGUGGAGAGCUGAGAAGUCCUCCUAUUUGAUGCUCCAAUUCUUAGGUGAAAGAAAAAAAUAUCUCCCAGCUUCGUCAUUGCUCAAGGUGAAUCCUUAGCACCAUGUCUAAUAUGUGCGAUGGCCAGGCACCGUGGCUAAUGCCUAUAAUCCAAGCACUUUGGAAAGACUGGGCUGGGAGGAUCAUUUGCAGCCAGGAUCUUGAGACAAGCCUAG
rnacentral:lncRNA from 1 species